UAUCUCUGUAGAGUCUGCAUAUCAAUAAGCGGAGGAAAAGGAAACUAACUAGGAUUCCCUCAGUAACGGCGAGUGAAGCGGGAAGAGCUCAAAUUUGAAAUCUUCAAGGUUCUACCUUGACGAAUUGUAGUUUAAAGAAGUGUUUUCUGUUGGAGUUUUGGUAGAAGUUCUUUGGAAUAGGACAUCAUAGAGGGUGAGAAUCCCGUAUUUGACCAUUAUUUCCAGCUUUGUGAUACACUUUCAAAGAGUCGGAUUGUUUGGGAAUGCAGUCCAAAAUGGGUGGUAAAUUUCAUCUAAAGCUAAAUAUUGGCGAGAGACCGAUAGCGAACAAGUACCGUGAGGGAAAGAUGAAAAGAACUUUGAAAAGAGAGUUAAACAGUACGUGAAAUUGUCAAAAGGGAAGCGUUUGACACCAGUGUUGUUUUUCUGAAAAUCAAUUAAAAAAGGCAGGAUUUUGUGUUGUAUUGACUUUAUCAGCUUUCUGCACUCUUUUCUUGUCUUUUUUAAUGCACUUUUCGUUUAACAAGUCAACAUCAAUUUCUUUUGUUGUAAAAGGGUCAUUGGAAGGUGGCUUUCUUUUCGGAGAAAGUGUUUAUAGCCUUUGGCCUCUGCAAUCGGAGAGAUUGAGGUCUGCAGCGUAGAUCCUUCGGGGUUAGAUACAUUUGUGCUAAGUUAUAGCCUUUCAUAGACAACUUGUUGACUAUGAUCAGUCAUGUAGCUUACUCGCUUAUGCUAUUUUACCUACGCUUAGGAUGUUGACGAUCAGCUGAGCGCG
rnacentral:rRNA from 1 species